rnacentral:rRNA from 1 species
AUUGAACGCUGGCGGCAUGCUUUACACAUGCAAGUCGGACGGCAGCGGGGAGUGCUUGCACUCUGCCGGCGAGUGGCGAACGGGUGAGUAAUGCAUCGGAACGUACCGAGUAAUGGGGGAUAACUGUCCGAAAGGACAGCUAAUACCGCAUACGCCCUGAGGGGGAAAGCGGGGGAUCUUAGGACCUCGCGUUAUUCGAGCGGCCGAUGUCUGAUUAGCUAGUUGGUGGGGUAAAGGCCUACCAAGGCGACGAUCAGUAGCGGGUCUGAGAGGACGAUCCGCCACACUGGGACUGAGACACGGCUCAGACUCCUACGGGAGGCAGCAGUGGGGAAUUUUGGACAAUGGGCGCAAGCCUGAUCCAGCCAUGCCGCGUGUCUGAAGAAGGCCUUCGGGUUGUAAAGGACUUUUGUCAGGGAAGAAAAGGAGUUGGUUAAUACCCGACUGG